rnacentral:rRNA from 1 species
GACGAACGCUGGCGGCGUGCUUAACACAUGCAAGUCGAACGGUGAAGGCGGAGCUUGCUCUGCCGGAUCAGUGGCGAACGGGUGAGUAACACGUGGGCAACCUGCCCCUCACUUCGGGAUAACUACGGGAAACCGGGGCUAAUACCGGAUACGACCUCCUUGGGCAUCGUUGGAGGUGGAAAGGUUUUCGGGGAGGGAUGGGCCCGCGGCCUAUCCGCUUGUUGGUGAGGUAGUGGCUCACCAAGGCGACGACGGGUAGCCGGCGCUGAGAGGGCGACCGGCCACGCUGGGACUGAGACACGGCCCAGACUCCUACGGGAGGCAGCAGUGGGGAAUAUUGCGCAAUGGGCGAAAGCCUGACGCAGCAACGCCGCGUGCGGGAUGAAGGCCUUCGGGUUGUAAACCGCUUUCAGCAGGGAAGAAGCCGCAAGGUGACGGUACCUGCAGAAGAAGCACCGGCUAACUACGUGCCAGCCGCCGCAGUAA